GAUGAACGCUGGCGGCGUGCCUAAUACAUGCAAGUCGAGCGAAUGGACGGGAAGCUUGCUUUUCUGAUGCUAGCGGCGGAUGGGUGAUUAAUACGUGUAUAACCUAUCGAUAAGAAUGGGAUAACUUCGGGAAACCGCAUCCAGUACACGUUAAUAGUGUGAACCGCAUGGUUCAAAAGUGAAAGACGUUCUUGCUGUCACUUAUAGAUGUAUCCUCGUUGCAUUAGCUAGUUGGUAAGUUAACGGCUUACCAAAGCAACGAUGCAUAGCUUAUCUGAGAGGGUGAUCGGUCACACUGGUACUCAGAUACGUUCCCGACCCCUACGGGAGGCAGCAGUACGGAAUAUUGGUCAAUGGGCGAAUGCCUGACGUAGCCACGCAGCGUGUGUGAGGAAGGUCUUCGGCUUGUAAAACACUUUGAUUUAGGAUGAACGUAUGUCUAUGGAACUGUGCACAUCUUGACGUUACCUACCCAGUAAGCCUCGGCUAACUCCGUG
rnacentral:rRNA from 1 species